GACGAACGCUGGCGGCGUGCUUAACACAUGCAAGUCGAACGGAAAGGCCCUGCUUGCAGGGUGCUCGAGUGGCGAACGGGUGAGUAACACGUGGGUGAUCUGCCCCUUACUUUGGGAUAAGCCUGGGAAACUGGGUCUAAUACUGGAUGGGACCAUGCUGUAGGUGGUGUGGUGGAAAGAUUAGUUUCGGUAAGGGAUGAGCUCGCGGCCUAUCAGCUUGUUGGUGGGGUAAUGGCCUACCAAGGCGUCGACGGGUAGCCGGCCUGAGAGGGUGGACGGCCACAUUGGGACUGAGAUACGGCCCAGACUCCUACGGGAGGCAGCAGUGGGGAAUAUUGCACAAUGGGCGCAAGCCUGAUGCAGCGACGCCGCGUGGGGGAUGACGGCCUUCGGGUUGUAAACUCCUUUCAGCCAUGACGAAGCCCUUGUGGUGACGGUAGUGGUAGAAGAAGCACCGGCUAACUACGUG
rnacentral:rRNA from 1 species